UACAGAGGGUGCAAGCGUUAAUCGGAAUUACUGGGCGUAAAGCGCGCGUAGGUGGUUUGUUAAGUUGAAUGUGAAAUCCCCGGGCUCAACCUGGGAACUGCAUCCAAAACUGGCAAGCUAGAGUAGGGCAGAGGGUGGUGGAAUUUCCUGUGUAGCGGUGAAAUGCGUAGAUAAUAGGAAGGAACACCAGUGGCGAAGGCGACCACCUGGGCUCAUACUGACACUGAGGUGCGAAAGCGUGGGGAGCAAACAGG
rnacentral:rRNA from 1 species